CACGUAGGGCGCAAGCGUUGUCCGGAAUUAUUGGGCGUAAAGAGCUCGUAGGUGGUUUGUUACGUCCGCUGUGAAAUCCUAGGGCUUAACCCUGGGCUUGCAGUGGAUACGGGCAGACGUAGAGGUAGGUAGGGGGAGAAUGGAAUUCCUGGAUGUAGCGGUGAAAUGCGCAGAUAUCAGAGGAACACCGGUGGCGAAGGCGG
rnacentral:rRNA from 1 species